rnacentral:tRNA from 1 species
GUCGACGUAGCUCAGUAGGUAGAGCAACCGCCUGUCACGCGGUAGGCCGCGAGUUCAAGUCUCGUCGUCGACG